rnacentral:rRNA from 1 species
UACGGAGGGUGCAAGCGUUAUCCGGAUUCACUGGGUUUAAAGGGUGCGUAGGCGGGUAAGUAAGUCCGUGGCGAAAUCUCUGAGCUUAACUCAGAAACUGCCGUGGAUACUAUUUGCCUUGAAUAUUGUGGAGGUGAGCGGAAUAUGUCAUGUAGCGGUGAAAUGCUUAGAUAUGACAUAGAACACCAAUUGCGAAGGCAGCUCACUACACAAUCAUUGACGCUGAGGCACGAAAGCGUGGGGAUCAAACAGG